AGGGAAUCUUCCACAAUGGACGAAAGUCUGAUGGAGCAACGCCGCGUGAGUGAUGAAGGUUUUCGGAUCGUAAAACUCUGUUGUAAGGGAAGAACCAGUACGUCAGGCAAUGGACGUACCUUGACGGUACCUUAUUAGAAAGCCACGGCUAACUACGUGCCAGCAGCCGCGGUAAUACGUAGGUGGCAAGCGUUGUCCGGAAUUAUUGGGCGUAAAGCGCGCGCAGGUGGUUUCUUAAGUCUGAUGUGAAAGCCCACGGCUUAACCGUGGAGGGUCCAUGGAAACUGGGAGGCUUGAGUGGAAGAGAGGAAAGUGGAAUUCCAAGGGUAGGGGUUAAAAGGGUAGAGAUUUUGGGGAACAACAGUUGGCGAGGCGGCUUUCUUGUCUGGCACUUACGGUUGGGCGGCAAAGGCUGGGGAGGAAACC
rnacentral:rRNA from 1 species